UGCAGUCGAACGAGUUCUGAUUAUUGAAAGGUGCUUGCAUCUUGAUUUAAUUUUGAACGAGUGGCGGACGGGUGAGUAACACGUGGGUAACCUGCCCUUAAGUGGGGGAUAACAUUUGGAAACAGAUGCUAAUACCGCAUAAAUCCAAGAACCGCAUGGUUCUUGGCUGAAAGAUGGCGUAAGCUAUCGCUUUUGGAUGGACCCGCGGCGUAUUAGCUAGUUGGUGAGGUAACGGCUCACCAAGGCAAUGAUACGUAGCCGAACUGAGAGGUUGAUCGGCCACAUUGGGACUGAGACACGGCCCAAACUCCUACGGGAGGCAGCAGUAGGGAAUCUUCCACAAUGGACGCAAGUCUGAUGGAGCAACGCCGCGUGAGUGAAGAAGGCUUUCGGGUCGUAAAACUCUGUUGUUGGAGAAGAAUGGUCGGCAGAGUAACUGUUGUCGGCGUGACGGUAUCCAACCAGAAAGCCACGGCUAACUACGUGCCAGCAGCCGCGGUAAUACGUAGGUGGCAAGCGUUAUCCGGAUUUAUUGGGCGUAAAGCGAGCGCAGGCGGUUUUUUAAGUCUGAUGUGAAAGCCCUCGGCUUAACCGAGGAAGUGCAUCGGAAACUGGGAAACUUGAGUGCAGAAGAGGACAGUGGAACUCCAUGUGUAGCGGUGAAAUGCGUAGAUAUAUGGAAGAACACCAGUGGCGAAGGCGGCUGUCUGGUCUGUAACUGACGCUGAGGCUCGAAAGCAUGGGUAGCGAACAGGAUUAGAUACCCUGGUAGUCCAUGCCGUAAACGAUGAAUGCUAGGUGUUGGAGGGUUUCCGCCCUUCAGUGCCGCAGCUAACGCAUUAAGCAUUCCGCCUGGGGAGUACGACCGCAAGGUUGAAACUCAAAGGAAUUGACGGGGGCCCGCACAAGCGGUGGAGCAUGUGGUUUAAUUCGAAGCAACGCGAAGAACCUUACCAGGUCUUGACAUCUUUUGAUCACCUGAGAGAUCAGGUUUCCCCUUCGGGGGCAAAAUGACAGGUGGUGCAUGGUUGUCGUCAGCUCGUGUCGUGAGAUGUUGGGUUAAGUCCCGCAACGAGCGCAACCCUUAUGACUAGUUGCCAGCAUUUAGUUGGGCACUCUAGUAAGACUGCCGGUGACAAACCGGAGGAAGGUGGGGAUGACGUCAAAUCAUCAUGCCCCUUAUGACCUGGGCUACACACGUGCUACAAUGGAUGGUACAACGAGUUGCGAGACCGCGAGGUCAAGCUAAUCUCUUAAAGCCAUUCUCAGUUCGGACUGUAGGCUGCAACUCGCCUACACGAAGUCGGAAUCGCUAGUAAUCGCGGAUCAGCACGCCGCGGUGAAUACGUUCCCGGGCCUUGUACACACCGCCCGUCACACCAUGAGAGUUUGUAACACCCGAAGCCGGUGGCGUAACCCUUUUAGGGAGCGAGCCGUCUAAGGUGGGACAAAUGAUUAGGGUGAAGUCGUAACAAG
rnacentral:rRNA from 2 species